GAAAGAAUCCGGAAGUCAGACAGGAUUG
rnacentral:piRNA from 1 species